UACGUAGGCAGCAAGCGUUGUUCGGGGUUACUGGGCGUAAAGGGUGUGUAGGCGGUUUUCUAAGUUUGGUGUGAAAUCUCCCGGCUCAACUGGGAGGGUGCGCCGAAAACUGGGGGGCUAGAGUACUGGAUGGGAGAGUGGAAUUCCUGGUGUAGCGGUGAAAUGCGUAGAUAUCAGGAGGAACACCUGUGGUGUAGACGGCUCUCUGGACAGUAACUGACGCUGAGACACGAAAGCGUGGGUAGCAAACAGG
rnacentral:rRNA from 1 species